rnacentral:rRNA from 1 species
UGGCGGACGGGUAAGUAACGCGUGGAUAACCUGCCGUAUACUGGGGGAUAACACUUAGAAAUAGGUGCUAAUACCGCAUAAGCGCACAGUCUCGCAUGAGACGGUGUGAAAAACUCCGGUGGUAUACGAUGGAUCCGCGUCUGAUUAGCUUGUUGGCGGGGUAACAGCCCACCAAGGCGACGAUCAGUAGCCGGCCUGAGAGGGUGAACGGCCACAUUGGGACUGAGACACGGCCCAAACUCCUACGGGAGGCAGCAG